CACGCUGGGAGGAUGGUGUUGAGUGGACUGUCCGAGCUCAACCAGCAGGUAACCAUUCACAUAAUUGUACAGCAUUCAUCAGACCAGAUAUAUAGUUCCCACUGGGCACAGACGUCAUUUCAGCGUGUAGUUUUUAGUUACAUUUGGUUGAGUUCAAUGUGAAAUCAAUAAAACAAAUGUACCAUGUCAUUGGACUUAGGUUAAAAGUUGGGUGAAAAAAAUACGUUGAUGACUUUUUUCAAUUCCAAUCAGUUUUCCAUGUUGAUUCAACAUCAUCACAUUACAUUUUUGUUGUUGAUAUGACAAGGAAACAACGUUGAUUCAACCAGUCUUUGCCCAGUGGCUUACAUUUAGGCAAUAGUGAUUUGUAAGGUUUAGUUGAAAAGUUCCAAUGUCUUACAAGCCAAACAAUCAGAAUUACAGAGCUGAAUCUUUGAGUUUAUGAUCCAAGUUCUAAGGAAUUUUAUGAUUGUUUUGUUUUGAGGAUGUGAGGCAGUUUCAGCAGGCCUAUGACAUCCUGGUGAACUUCAUUAAUGAGCCAGCAAACAGGGAGCGACUAGAGCUGGAGAUGGCUCUUGUAGGAGUAGGUUUACAUACAAGCUUGAGCGUUAGCUGCAGGCACCGUCUGCUCAUCCAACAUCUACUCAAUGAGACUUUCUAAAGUGCUUGUCAAUGAAAAUGAUGUAAUUAUCUUAUUUGUUCGACUUCAGAUCAACCACAUCAACUUCACGGAUGUAUUUUAUGAAUUUGUUCUACUAAGCCUUCUGGAAGGAAAAACAUCUAUUCCAACAUCUGUAAGUGGCCCUAAUAAUGUAAACAUCCUGUUGUUUAUCUACCAUAUCCACACUAGCCAUACCAGGUCUGUAGACACCCACUUAUGUCCCCUGUUCCUUCUCCAGAGGCCUGGUACCUUCUUUUAUCUGCUCGUGGAAGUGAUCAUGAGGAUUCACCCUCCUGGAGAAGCCUGGACAGAGUCUGCUGGGAACUUCUACCUCCUCAUUAAGGAUCAGAUGAAGGCGUGGUUGGACUCCAUCUUCAACCUCGAUGAGUCCAUCUAUGAAAGCCCACAGAGGCUCUCGUGGCAGGUGAUGGUGAAUCUAGAAAUGCAGGUUGACUUCCUCCUGUCCAGCCUGGAUUAAGGGUCCCAAACUGAGCUGAGGAUCCCAAACAUAAAAUAAAGUAUUUUGCAUUUAAACAUUACCUGUCAAUCUGAAACUAAU
rnacentral:lncRNA from 1 species